CGCGUAGGCGGUGCGGUACGGUUUCGGUGAAAUCCCUCGGCCCAACCGAGGAACAGCCGGGGCUACGGCCGCGCUAGACGGCAUCAGGGGACAGUGGAACUCCCGGUGGAGCGGUGAAAUGCGUAGAUAUCGGGAGGAACGCCGGUGGCGAAAGCGACUGUCUGGGGUGCCUGUGACGCUGAGGCGCGAAAGCCAGGGGAUCAAAACGG
rnacentral:rRNA from 1 species